rnacentral:rRNA from 1 species
UGGGGAAUUUUGGACAAUGGGCGAAAGCCUGAUCCAGCAAUGCCGCGUGUGUGAAGAAGGCCUUCGGGUUGUAAAACACUUUUGUCCGGAAAGAAAUCCUUGGCUCUAAUACAGUCGGGGGAUGACGGUACCGGAAGAAUAAGCACCGGCUAACUACGUGCCAGCAGCCGCGGUAAUACGUAGGGUGCAAGCGUUAAUCGGAAUUACUGGGCGUAAAGCGUGCGCAGGCGGUUUGCUAAGACCGAUGUGAAAUCCCCGGGCUCAACCUGGGAACUGCAUUGGUGACUGGCAGGCUAGAGUAUGGCAGAGGGGGGUAGAAUUCCACGUGUAGCAGUGAAAUGCGUAGAGAUGUGGAGGAAUACCGAUGGCGAAGGCAGCCCCCUGGGCCAAUACUGACGCUCAUGCACGAAAGCGUGGGGAGCAAACAGGAUUAGAUACCCUGGUAGUCCACGCCCUAAACGAUGUCAACUAGUUGUUGGGGAUUCAUUUCCUUAGUAACGUAGCUAACGCGUGAAGUUGACCGCCUGGGGAGUACGGUCGCAAGAUUAAAACUCAAAGGAAUUGACGGGG